rnacentral:rRNA from 1 species
GACGAACGCUGGCGGCGUGCUUAACACAUGCAAGUCGAACGAAGAGCGAUGGAAGCUUGCUUCUCUCAAUCUUAGUGGCGCACGGGUGAGUAACGCGUAAUCAACCUGCCCUUCAGAGGGGGACAACAGUUGGAAACGACUGCUAAUACCGCAUACGAUCUAAACUCGGCAUCGAGGAUAGAUGAAAGGUGGCCUCGACAUGUAAGCUAUCACUGAAGGAGGGGAUUGCGCCUGAUUAGCUAGUUGGAGGGGUAACGGCCCACCAAGGCGAUGGUCAGUAGCCGGUCUGAGAGGAUGAACGGCCACAUUGGGACUGAGACACGGCCCAGGCCCCUACGGGAGGGAGCAGUGGGGAAUCUUCCGCAAUGGACGAAAAUCUGAAGGAGCAACGCCGCGUGAGUGAUGACGGCCUUCGGGUUGGAAAGCUCUGUUAAUCGGGACGAAAGGCCUUCUUGCGAAUAGUGAGAAGGAUUGACGGUACCGGAAUAGAAAGCCACGGCUAACUACGUG